rnacentral:rRNA from 1 species
UACGUAGGGGGGCAAGCGUUGUCCGGAAUCAUUGGGCGUAAAGAGCGUGUAGGCGGCCCGAUAAGUCCGCUGUGAAAGUCCAGGGCUCAACCCUGGGAUGCCGGUGGAUACUGUCGGGCUCGAGUCCGGAAGAGGAGUGUGGAAUUCCGUGGUGUAGCGGUGAAAUGCGCAGAUAUCAGGAGGAACACCAAUGGCGAAGGCAGCACUCUGGGACGUGACUGACGCUGAGACGCGAAAGCGUGGGGAGCGAACAGG